AGAGUUUGAUCCUGGCUCAGAACGAACGCUGGCGGCGUGCCUAACACAUGCAAGUCGAACGGAGUGAAGGAGCUUGCUCUUUCAUUUAGUGGCGCACGGGUGAGUAACGCGUAGAUAAUCUGCCUUGGACUCUGGGAUAACAUCUCGAAAGGGGUGCUAAUACCGGAUAAGCCCACGAUGGCGUAAGUCAUUGCGGGAAAAGGGGGCCUCUGAAUAUGCUCCUGAUUCAAGAUGAGUCUGCGUACCAUUAGCUAGUUGGUAGGGUAAGAGCCUACCAAGGCGACGAUGGUUAGCUGGUCUGAGAGGACGAUCAGCCACACUGGAACUGAGACACGGUCCAGACUCCUACGGGAGGCAGCAGUGGGGAAUUUUGCGCAAUGGGGGAAACCCUGACGCAGCAACGCCGCGUGAGUGAUGAAGGCUUUCGGGUCGUAAAGCUCUGUCUAGAGGGAAGAAAUGAUAGUCGGUUAAUACCCGGUUUUCUUGACGGUACCUCUGAAGGAAGCACCGGCUAACUCCGUGCCAGCAGCCGCGGUAAA
rnacentral:rRNA from 1 species